rnacentral:miRNA from 1 species
UGUUGUUUACGGAAGGGGGA